UGUGGGGCCAGGAAGAGCGGAGGAUGGGAGGCCGGUGCGGUGCUGGCCGCAGCAGUCCCAGCUGGCUGAGCAGAGCUGGGCAAGACCGAGCGACUGUGUCUCCGUGUGCAUGUAAAAGCCUAGAAGACAGUAUACAGCUUCCAAAACUCCAACACUUUUAAAAUUAAAAUGGAGAGCCAGGCAUGGUGGCACACGCCUGUAAUCCCAGCACUCGGGAGGCUGAGGCAGGAGGAUCUUUCUGAGUUCGAGACCAGCAUAGGCUACAAAGUGAGCUCAAUGCCAGCCUGAACUGCACAGCGAGACCUUGUCUCCAAAAGACUAAAUAAAUAAAUAAAUAAAAUUAAAACGGUA
rnacentral:lncRNA from 1 species